rnacentral:ncRNA from 1 species
UGCAAAUUAUGACUUAAUUUAAGAAUUAGGUUAAAUUGCUUUGAUUUUUAUACUUAUAUUGGACUAAAAGUGGUGAAUAAGUAGUAAUUAAUUUUGUUUUAUUUAUUAAUUGUAAGAUUCAGCAAUAGUUUUUAACUUUAACAAAUAUUUGUGCCAGCAGUUGCGGUUAUACAAAGAAGGUUACUUAAUUCUAGUGGUUUUAGAUAAUUAAUUUUUUAUCUUUAAAAAUUAUAUUGAGAGGUGAAAUUUUAAUAUAAAAGUUAAAUUUAUAAAUUGAAUGGACUAGGAAAAUUUCGUUUAUAAACCAGGAUUAGAUACCCUGUUAUUAAAAUUGUUACAAUUAAAACCGGAUUAGUAUUAGUUAAGUGCUUGAAAAUUAAAUAUCUUGGCGGUACUUUAACCUAUUAGAGGAACCUGUUCUGUAAUUGAUAGUCCACAAUUUAUUUUACUUUUAAAAUUGCUUGUAUAUCGUUGUUGUAAUGAAAAUUUCAUAAGAAAACUAAUUUUCUUUUCAUAAAAUUUAAUUUAGAUCAAAUCAAGGUGCAGCUUUUAGAAGAAGAAAUGGGUUACAUUAAUAUAUUUAAGUUUGUAAAUUUUAUUUAAUUAGGAUUUAAUAGUAAUUAUAUUUAUUUUAAUAUAAUGAAUCAGGAUCUAAAGUAUGCACAUAUCGCCCGUCGCUUUCAUAUUUUCAAUGAAAUAAGUCGUAACAUAGUAGAUUUAUCGGAAGAUGAAUCUAGAAUGAC